rnacentral:rRNA from 1 species
UUGACGGGGGCCCGCACAAGCGGUGGAGCAUGUGGUUUAAUUCGAAGCGACGCGAAGAACCUUACCAGGCCUUGACAUGCAGAGAACUUUCCAGAGAUGGAUUGGUGCCUUCGGGAACUCUGACACAGGUGCUGCAUGGCUGUCGUCAGCUCGUGUCGUGAGAUGUUGGGUUAAGUCCCGUAACGAGCGCAACCCUUGUCCUUAGUUGCCAGCAGUUCGGCUGGGCACUCUAAAGGGACUGCCGGUGUUAAACCGGAGGAAGGUGGGGAUGACGUCAAGUCCUCAUGGCCUUUAUGACCAGGGCUACACACGUACUACAAUGGCCGAUACAAAGGGCAGCGACACUGCGAGGUGAAGCCAAUCCCGUAAAAUCGGUCUCAGUCCGGAUUGGAGUCUGCAACUCGACUCCAUGAAGUUGGAAUCGCUAGUAAUCGUGGAUCAGCAUGCCACGGUGAAUACGUUCCCGGGCCUU